rnacentral:rRNA from 1 species
UGCGCAGGCGGAAUGAUUAGUCAGUGGUGAAAGCCCUCGGCUCAACCGAGGAACUGCCAUUGAUACUGUCAUUCUUGAGUACAGUUGUAGUGGGCGGAAUGUGUCAUGUAGCGGUGAAAUGCAUAGAGAUGACACAGAACACCGAUCGCGAAGGCAGCUCACUAAGCUGAAACUGACGCUCAGGCACGAAAGCGUGGGUAGCAAACAGGAUUAGAUACCCUGGCAGUCC